UGGGGAAUAUUGGACAAUGGGCGAAAGCCUGAUCCAGCCAUGCCGCGUGAGUGACGAAGGCCUUAGGGUUGUAAAACACUUUAGUUGGGGAGGAAAGGUAUGUACUGCAUAAGUGCAUGCUGUGACGUUACCCAAAGAAUAAGCACCGGCAAACUCUGUGCCAGCAGCCGCGGUAAUACAGAGGGUGCAAGCGUUAAUCGGACUUACUGGGCGUAAAGCGCGCGUAGGUGGUUAUGUAAGUUGGAUGUGAAAUCCCCGGGCUCAACCUGGGAACUGCAUCCAAAACUGCAUAGCUAGAGUACGGUAGAGGGUGGUGGAAUUUCCUGUGUAGCGGUGAAAUGCGUAGAUAUAGGAAGGAACACCAGUGGCGAAGGCGACCACCUGGACUGAUACUGACACUGAGGUGCGAAAGCGUGGGGAGCAAACAGGAUUAGAUACCCUAGUAGUCCCUGAGCGGGCUGGCAAGGCGCAU
rnacentral:rRNA from 1 species